ACCUUCAGUUUCUCUUCUUAUAGCACUCUCUUUAAUCUCCGGGCAUAUCUCAGAGAUUGAUCCAUUAUCAAGGGUUUGAUGCCGAGAAAUUGAAGUUGAGUUGUCCAGACCAGAUACCCUUACAGAAGAAAUCAACAUGUGACCCUGUUUGCUGGUCUCUGGUUCUUCCUCGAUCUCUGGGCUUCUCUUAUCAAAUUGGUCUUCUUCAGGAAUCUCCUUGAAGUGGUCCCCCUUACAGAAGAAAUCAACACGUGACCCUGUUUGCUGGUCUCUGGUUCUUCCUCGAUCUCUGGGCUUCUUUUAUCAAAUUGGUCUUCUUCAGGAAUCUCCUUGAAGUGGUCGAAUUCUUGAGACACCGACCGAACAGCUGCAUCAAAU
rnacentral:lncRNA from 1 species